UACGUAGGGUGCAAGCGUUGUCCGGAAUUAUUGGGCGUAAAGAGCUCGUAGGCGGUCUGUCGCGUCGGCUGUGAAAAUCCGGGGCUCAACCCCGGACUUGCAGUGGGUACGGGCAGACUAGAGUGUGGUAGGGGAGACUGGAAUUCCUGGUGUAGCGGUGAAAUGCGCAGAUAUCAGGAGGAACACCGAUGGCGAAGGCAGGUCUCUGGGCCACUACUGACGCUGAGAAGCGAAAGCAUGGGGAGCGAACGGA
rnacentral:rRNA from 1 species